rnacentral:lncRNA from 1 species
UAAUUUAUUAAUUAUAUUUUUAUAUCAUCACAUGUCACAUGGGUAGCCAUGUUUAUUGAGUGGUUUUGGUGAGAUAGAUUAUACUAUCAUUUCAUUUCAUUUCAGUUGAUGCUCAUGUGAUGUCAUUAUUCUGACAUUAUUUACUUGAUUAAAAAUGGCAGUACUAAUAUUUACUAAAGUUGUAUGAGCAGAUUAAAAGCCAUUUUAACUAGUGCUCUUUUUCUAACUUUGGAAAUUUGAUGGCCACUGUUAAGAAUGGCACAUACCACCUCUGUGUUUAUAAAUACGUGUACACUUCUAUGCCUGGACCACCUCCUGCUUCUGCUCAGCUUCCGUUUCUAAUAAGGUACAAGAGACUGUCUCUUCAGGAAACUUGUGAUAGCUAGGAUGCUCCUCAUAAGGAAGCAUUCAGUAGCCAUGCCAAAAAGAAAAAAAAGUAUGUGAAUUUUGGUUAAUGAGUAAAGUCAUUGAUGCCCUGGAUGAGAACGACUGCUUUUCUCUUUUUCUCUUUUUUACUCCUCUUUUUUUUUUAAAGAUUUAUUUAUUUAUUUAUUUAUUAUAUGUGUAUGCACUGUAGCUGUCUUCAGACACUGCAGAAGAGGGCAUCAGAUUUUUGUUAUGGAUGGUUGUGAGCCACCAUGUGGUUGCUGGGAUUUGAACUCAGUACCUUUGGAAGAGCAUAUGGCACUCUUAACCGCUGAGCCAUCUCACCAGCCCCUAUUCCUCAUUUUUUAGUCCCAACAUAAGGCAUAUCAUAGCUAAUAAACUAGUUGUCUUCACCAUUUCCCCGAACUGAUAUACGAGUUCCUUAUUCGGUUCACACAAAACACAUCAGAUGUCAUUAUUCCAUCUUUGGUCUUGUGACAUCUUCACACCUAGCAACCUUGACCUUUAUUCAUACAUCUCCUUAACACGUGUAGACCAUCUCCUGUUAGCAAUGUGAGGCUUGGUGGAGGUUAUGGAGAGUGUCUGCUCUAAAUGUAGAUUGAAACUUGAAAUGAAAAGGUUUGUAGGUUCAAAGCACUCUAAUAAACGGCCUACUAUGUGAUACUCAUACCUAAAUGAAAAUGCCCAGGCAUCCCAAUAGAAAAGGAACUGCACAUUCAUUCAUGAAGUAUUCAGAUUUGAUCAGGAAGAGCAUGUAUUAUUUUUGUGAUGUGAGAUUUGUGCAGUGAGCCACUGUUCCAUAAAUAGUCCUUUCUUGAUUGCAUGCUUAUUGGCACAAACAGAAGUAGAAAUGUGGAGAAAUGAGAUGUAGUGCUCACUCUAAAAUGAAGCAGAGAACUUGGGUUUUUCUCACUGAUUCUAAUUAAAUCUGCCAGAUGACCAAAAUAUCUUGCUCCAUGCCUCUCUUCAAAGUACCUUAAGCUAUGCCUCCGGGGUCCUUGCUGAUGCCCAGAUACUUGAGAAUGAGAGUAGGUUUGGGUAUAUGUAUUAGUAUCUUUCAAAUCCCUAGAAACAGUGAGAUCUGACUUAAGCAGGUCAAAACUGCUUAUUUUGUGGAAAUACAUAGAACUCAUGGAGGUUUUAUUAACAAGCUUUUAUUGUAUCAUGAACCAGCAUGAGUACAUACUGACUUAUAAGACCUUCCUGCUUUUUACAUUUUUAUUUCAUUACAUAUUUCAUACAUGUAUAUAGUAUAUCUUGAUCCUAUCUAUCCCUUACUUCCCUCUUCCAACUCUUCUAAGGACCCCCAAUCACAGUACUAUGUGUACCUGCAUGAGCAUGGGUCACCCAUGGCAGCAUAGGGAAUCCAGUAAUAAGCCACACUCUCUGGGGAGAAAAAGAUUAUUCUUUCCUUAGUAGCUGUCAGCUGUUCAGGGUUAGGAUACCCUCUUCCUGCUUUGUGCUGGAAUUGCUAACUGGGUUGGUUUUGUGCAGAUUUUAUGUGUAUAGGUAACCACAAUAUCUAUAAGUUCAUGUGUGCAAUAGCCAUGUUAAGGCUAAGGGUCAGAAUUUCAUAGCCCUUCUGACUUCCACUUUCUUUCUAUCCCCUCUCUGGAGAUGUUUCCUGAGCUCUGGGGUGGUGACACAGAUGUCCCACCCAGGCAAAGGACUCAGAGUCACUUGUUCUUAGAGCUUAGAUAUCCCCACCAC